rnacentral:rRNA from 1 species
UAGGUAAGUAAAGUCGUACACGGUUUCCGUAGGUGACCCUGCGCAGGAAUCAUUA